rnacentral:tRNA from 1 species
GGUGAGAUGGCCGAGCGGUCUAAGGCGCCAGACUAAGGACAUUGUUCGUAAUCUGGUCCGAAAGGGCGUGGGUUCGAAUCCCACUCUCAUCA